rnacentral:misc_RNA from 1 species
CUUGAUGCUGUCUCUGCCACGUGCAUUGCUGCUUUCUCCUUUGCGUUCGGUCACUCUGUCCUCGCCCUCCUUCUCUCCGCUCACCUCGCUCGUCGCGUCGCGCGGCCAUUGCCGACAGCGGCCAAGGAGGAGACACAAAAACAAGCACGUUUCGGUGUCGCGUGCGCUCUCCGCUCCUGCGCCGUGCCAUGUCCCGCUACGAUAUCGCUAGCGAGCCUACCGCCGAGACCCUCGCGCUCAACUACAAGGCGGUGCGCGACACGGUGGCGCAGGAGAGCGGAAACCGUCGCGUCACGCUCAUUGCGGUGAGCAAGACCAAGUCUCCUGCAUGUCUUCUAAACCUGUACAGCCUGGGCCAGCGCGUGUUCGGCGAGAACUACGUGCAGGAGCUGGGCGAGAAGGCCAAGGUGCUGCCCGAGGACACGGUGUGGCACUUCAUUGGCCACUUGCAGAGCAACAAGGUGAAGGAGCUGCUGGAGGGGGUGCCCAACCUGCGCGUGAUUCAGACCAUCGACUCCGAGAAUCUGGCGAGCAAGGUGAACGAGGGGUGCAGGAAGUACCGCGGCGGCCGGCCACUCGAGGUGUACAUUCAGGUAAACACCAGUGGCGAAGAGACGAAGAGCGGAACGGAGCCUGGGGAGGCUACUGUGGCACUUGCCAAGUACAUCGUUGAUGAGUGCCCACUGCUGCGGCUGAAGGGACUCAUGACGAUCGGCAUGCCCGACUACACAAGUCGACCAGAAAACUUUGAGUGUCUCACGAAGUGCCGGGAGGACGUGGCGCAGGCAGUGCAGAUGGCGCCGGAGGACCUGGAGCUGUCGAUGGGCAUGAGUGGCGACUACGUGAACGCCAUUCGAAUGGGCUCCACCACCGUGCGCGUCGGAACCUCGAUUUUCGGCCAACGCUACUACCCACACAAGCAGUGACGGGGGUAGGGAGAGGGUUCAUGCAUUCGUCAACACGCCCUCAGACAAGCAGCAGCGGCCCUCGCCUGCGAGCGUCGCUCUCCUCCUCAUGCGGAUGCGUGGAGAGCGGAGGGAGACGGAGGGAGGGGGGUGGUUGGGUCUUUGCCCAACAAGUGUGCACCCAUCGAAAGGGUCGGUAAGGUGAUCAGGUGACGAUGCCGAUACGCGUGCGUUAAGGCGAGUGUGCACGCGCCUGCUUCUGUGCAUUCCCUGUUGCGUUGCCCGUGGCAACCUCCAGAAUCGUUUUCACGGCUUAUCUAGUUUCUCUUUUUCUCUUCCUUUCAGCGCGCCCACCCUCGGCCGCGCAACAUGAGCUCGCCCCUGCUCCACCACCACCCUGACCCUGUCGCAGACCCCAUCGCGUGGUGCGGGGCAGCGCUGGUAAACGUGCGUUGCAACGAUGCGCCGGCUCCGCCAUCUGCACGCGGCCUCAGAGUCUACCUCUACCCCCCGCUGAGCCGGCCGCCCUCACAGCCGCUCACCCAUCAUGCCGGUCGCCACCUGGUGGCGUCCCUCGGGGUGGCGCUCAGGCUCUCCCCCCUCCCACCACUCGUGGACAGUGCGAGGGCCGUGUGUGUGGGAUACACGCUCGAGUCGCGCCGGCACCCUGCCCGUCAUGUGGAUGGCACCGACGUGCUCGAUGUCGCGGGUGGUCCCGGCGCCGCACCAUCCAGGACCUGGCCGCCGACAUCAGUAGCGAUGAAGCGCUCUGGGUUCGCCACGUCGUGGGCACUUGGCCCUGUCACCGCCGGAGGUUUGCUCUGGCAUUCGGCAUGGGAUAGGCUGUGGAGGGGGAUGCUGUGCCCUGUGAUGCCACGCACUGCGGUGUGUCCCCCCGUUGUCGGGCUUACCGUGUUCGU